rfam:Gorilla gorilla gorilla genomic chromosome, chrX, whole genome shotgun sequence
AUUCUUAUAUGUCAGGGGUAGUGCCAUGAUCAUUAAGGUGGUUCUCCCAGCGCCAAGGCUCAUCUAUUCCAUUCCAGAUGCGCUGACCUCCUGAGAUUUCACCAAAUGUGGGAAACUUGAUUGCAUAAUUUAUGGUGGUGGUGAACUGUGUUCACUCUUUCUCCAG